ensembl:lncRNA
UCCACCACUUCCCUGGGCAGCCCAUUCCAGACCUGACCACUCUCUGAGAAAAAAAGUUUUUCCUUAUGUCUAACCUAAACCUCUUCUGGUAUAACUUGUGGCCAUUUCCUCAGGUCCUGUUUGUUGCCUGGGAGAAGAGGCCAAACCCCUCCUCAUCACAGCCUUCGUUCAGGAAAUUGGAGACUGCGGUCAUCAAUGAAGAUACUAAACAAGAUGGACACUAGUACCAAACCCUGGAGGACACCACUUGAAACAGAUUUUAAGCAACAGAAUGCUCUCCAGGGCUUGAGCACAGGCAAGUAAAUUGGAAGGUCAUGGGACUUCUUUCUGGGAGUGCUGUGGGUUUUGCAGAAGCUCAAGAAACAGUCAAAACUUCCUUGCUCCUGAAUAAUGAAUGUAGACUGUUUCUCAGUCCAGUAAACACUGCAUUUUUGUAAAGAAAGAAAACAGCUGGUGCAUGAAAUCAAGCUUACUCAUACAUUUCAAGGAAACUUCUCUCAGGAUACAUCUUCAGAUAAACAUUGAACUACAAUCCUUUUUUUUAAUUUCCCCCUCCCCCCAACCAAGAAUAUGAGACCUUUUAAGCAGAAGGCAGUAAUAUUUGUUUUGUGUGAGUGAAGUAGUGUGUUUGGCCUAGCAGAAAGACUUCUUAUUCCUCUGGGCUCCCAUAGGCUUGUGGAAUAAAAGUGAGUUGUGCAUCAAUGGUUUUCUGUGGGCUCCCAGACCAUAUCAAACAUCCUAUGACAUGCUCUGCAUUCAGUAUAUGGGAAAUACAGCUAUGCAACCCAGUGCCAGGAAGGGAAUGCAGCUGGGAGAAGAGAAUACAGGGGCUUAAAGAUGCACACAGUAAAUUUACAUUCCAGAGAGUGGUUAAUGGUCAAGAAAAUCAGGAGUUCACUGAAGCAAAAGAGAGAGGAAUGUCCAACUUCUUUUGAUUGAUGGUGAGCAGAAUGCCAAGGAUCAAGAGAAAACAAGCACAAAAAGACAUUUCAGUAGUAAAAACAAGGCAUUAAUAGUGAAUAUCAUGCCUAACACUGAUGAUGAUUUAUAGUCUGGCUCACAGACAAAACCACCAACCUGGUACUGCUAAGAACAUGAGGCAUGGAAAACUCCAAGGUCUUUUUCAAAAAUGAUAGAGUACACAAGAGAUGCAGUUUUUCUUGGAGAUUUGUUUCCUUUUCAGAAUCUCCUGCAAUCAUUCAAUUUUCAAGGCUAUUAAUCCUGAAGAAGCUCUAAUAUGCCAGCUUGAGACCGAAACUGAAAUUAUUUUUGGUCAAGCAAUACAGUUCUAGCUUCUUACAUGAGGCAAACUAAAUCUAACUUCAUGAUGUGAGGUAAUUGGUUAUGAGGCACCUAUGUUAUAGGUGUAAACCUAUAGAAAAACAUUUAUAUGACAGGUUUAUGUUCUGACAGUAAAUAUAUGGCAAAAUCUGUUUUUUUCAGGGAGCACAUAGUUUACAAAUGAUUAUUUAUUUUCCUAAUAAGGAAUUGAUUUCAAAAGAAAUUUAAUAUCUAUGUUUUUUUCUUAACUGAUAAAAUGUACACUAUAAAAUGUUCCGCUCAGCAUCUCAGUUCUACCUUUGUCCAAGGAGAUUUGAAUAAGUGUCUCUCAGUUUACCACAUAUUUCAACUAUCAGAUAACAGUCAUUCUAUUAUAUGCCAACUUACAUAUAUGUAAUUUAUUGAGAUGUUACUUAAGAAAAAGAUAUUAAAGAAGACAUUUCAAAAUACUGAUGAUGAUUAGGUUAUUUACCUGAGAGGUUACUUUUGAUGUUUUAGUACCCAUUCUAUAUUAGACAAUGAUAUGAAUAAUUUGAUAGCAGGACCUUCUUAGGAUGCUUAAAGAUUCAACCAUUCCUUUUGACACUGUUCCACUUUAGACAAAAUUCUCCAAAUGUUAUUGAGAUGCAGAACUAGAGUGGCUCUCUAGCCUUCUGGCUAGGACACUCUCCCAGGAGAUGGGAACACGUGGACCACUGCUCUCCCAUAAAUAUUUAAUUAAUUAUACACAGUGGAAGAGUGUCAAUAUGAGACAUUGAGAAAGCCCUGUUAUGUUAGUUUAAAGUUAAGGGCAAGCAUUUAGAAGAGUGAGAUGUGGAUUUGAAACCAUUCAUGGAGAGUGAAGUGAAUCUAGAAUCUUCACAUCCUGCAUCCUGUUGCUUGAGUACCUGAGCAUAUGAGAGCUUCCUCUUCUUCCAGUUGUUUGAGUUUUUUAUUUUAUUUAUUUAAUGAUGAAAACGGACACAAUUUCUUCUGCAGGUCUAGGCCGGUUGAGAAUAGAGAAAUCAAAAAUCAGGGUAGGACUUACUUUUUUCUAAAUACAAUACUUGGAAAAUAAAAUACUUGGUCUCCUUUCUGCACUUUUUUUUCCAAAACAUUUACUUUAAAUAAUUUUGUAUAUAUAUAUAUAUAUGUGUGUGUGUGUGUGUGUGUGUGUGUGUGCAUAUAUAUAUAAACUUAAUUAUAAGUGUAUGUGGCUUAAGAGAAAGGGUGGUACAAAUUUGUGAUCUAUCAUCAGUUGACUGAAAUGCACAGUUCUCAGUUCAUGGUGUGGUAACUUUGUUUCACUACCAUUCAGACAUAAAUACAAACAUAUAUUCUCCCUACUUUCAGAUGUGCAGAAAUAGAUAUGAGUAUGCAUAUAUGUUCAAAUACAUAAGUACAUGAACAUAUAAAAAUUUCCAAAGAAAAAUGAACCCCUCAAGCUCAGUAGUAAAUGUGAACACCAAUUAUUUAUUUGCAUUUUAUGUGAAUAAUGUUCUUUUUGGCUUUUUAUAUUGGAGAAAAAAAAAUAUGUUUAUAUUGGCAACACUUCUUUGCAUGCAUUGAGCUACAUACACUGCUUCUGAAAUUUAGAGGCCCAUUUAAAAAGGACUCACUUGAAAAGAUUUUGCUCUUACAUGUAUAAUUUCAAAGGGAAGAAUAUUGUAUUCUGCCAUAACCCUUCACACAAGUAUUUUACCUAAGGAUUUUAUCUUGUUCUAUAUUUGGAAAGUAUCACAAAGACCUCAUUCCACUGUUUUUCAUCCUUUUUUUUUUUCUUUUUUUUCUUUUUUUUUCUCUUUGUAGCUAUACCUUCUUUUAUUAAAAAAUGUAAAGAUUUUUAAUAUCCUACUACAUGUAAUACUUAAUAUAAUUUACCUUGCUACAAGAAUUUCCACAAGUUUAGAGCCAAAGAAUGUAAUAUAUAUAUAGGCUUAGAUCCAUGGCCUAUCCAGACUACUAUUCUCCCUCUAACACAGGCAGUAGGAGGCAUAACUUGGGGAAAGCGUGCAAAUAUUUCUGCUACCUGAAAAUUAGAGAGGAAGGAAUAAGAAAGGGAGGGAGAGGCUAAGCUAAAAUGUGAACCACAAAACUUCCAAACGUUUAAGUUCACUCUAACUGUAACAUGUGGAUCCCAACACUAUAUUUGAGUGUUGAGGAUACAUUACACAUCUUCUCUUCACUGUUUCAAUAUAAAAAAAAGACCAAAGCAAGCAUACUGAGAGGUAGGUGUAGCAUGUUCUGAGCACAUCUGCAGCAUGAACAACCAAGACAGGACUUGGCAGCAAUUAAUACUUUGUUGUGGCUGGCCAUGCAGCACAUGAAAUUCUAGGAUGGGAUGGGAUGGGAUGGGAUAGCAUAGCAUGGCAUGGCAUAGAAUGGAAUGGAAUGGAAUGGAAUGGAAUGGAAUGGAAUGGAAUGGAAUGGAAUGGAAUGGAAUGGAAUAGAAUAGAAUAGAAUAGAAUAGAAUAGAAUAGAAUAGAAUAGAAUAGAAUAGAAUAGAAUAGAAUAGAAUAGAAUAGAAUAGAAUAGAAUAGAAUAGAAUAGAAUAGUUGGAAGGGAUUUGCAAAGCCCACUGAAUCCAACUGACAGACCACAUCAGGACUAAUGGAAAGUUAAAGAGAGCACUUUAUUUUUUUAUUAUAUGCCCUCAUUAUUAAUGAGGGCAUUAUAUCCACAGGGCUGCUCUCAAUGAGAUCUUCUCCCAGUCUGUAAAAAUACCUGGGAUUGCCCCAACCCAAGUGCAAAACCUUUCACUUGGCUUUGUUGAACCUCACUAGGUUCACAUGGGCCCACUUCUCUAGCCUGUCCAGGUCCAUCUGUAUGGCUUCCCCUCCCUUCAGUGCACCAUCAACUGCACCACUGAGAUUGGUGUCUUCUGCAAACUUACAAACGAAAUUGAGGGUGCACUCAAUUCUAUUGUUUAUGUCAUUCAAGAUGUUGAAGAGCACAACAGUAUGUUGUCAAUGAGUCCUGUGAGUAUACAUUUUUUCUUUUUUUGAAAUCUGUAACUAAAAUGAAUAUUUAGGUGUAUUACAACCAGCAGGUUGCAGAGUAAAACUAAUACAAAUUAUCAAAUAUUCUUACUAUAGUGAUUCUCAUCCUUCUAUCCUUGGUAAUUGGUUCCCUAACAUUAACAGCUUUUGAUUCCUAAUGCUUUCUAGACCUUUGAUCUUUAGCAAGGUCUUUCUUGAUAAUGCUUGAUAAUGCUGACAAGUGACAUUUUCAAAAAGUGACAUCACCAUGAAAAAUUAUCUGGGUUUUUUUUUUUUUUUUUUGUGAUUAAUCCAAAUUCAUUUACAUUGUUAGAUGUUAAUGAGAUUCAACAAAUGAGGUUCAGUAGAGCAAAGUGAAAGAUUUGUACUUGGAACGAGGUAAUCCCAGAUAUGUAUACAGACUGAGAGAAGAAUUUGAGAGCAGUUCUGAUGAGAAAGAUUUAAGGGUCCUAGUUGGUGAAAAACAUAACAUGCGUCAGCAGUGUGUAACUGCAGCCCAGAAGGCCAAUGGUGUCCUGGGUUCCAUCAGAAGAGUGGUGGCAAGCAGGGAGAGGGAAGUGGUUGUCCCCCUCUGCUCUUGUGAGGCCCCUGCUGGAGUACUCUGUCUAUGUCUGGAGCCCCCAACACAGGAAAGAUGUGGAGCUUUUGGAGAGGGUCCAGAGGUGGGCCAUGAACCUGUCCCAUGAAGAUAGGCUGAGGAAACUGGGCUUGUUCAUCCUGGAAAAAAGCAGGUUGUGGGGAGACAUCAUUGCAAGCUUCCAAUAUUUUAAGGGAAUUUAUAAACAUGAGGGAAAUCAAAUAAAGGAGGGGAGAUUUAGAUUGGAUGUCUGGGAGAAGUUUUUUUACUGAGUGUGGUGAGAUGCUGGAACAGGUUGCCUAGAGAGGUUGUGAAUGACCAGUCCCUAGAGGUGUUGAAGGCCAGGCUGGAUAGGACCCUGAGGAAUCUGAUGUAGUACUUGAUCUAGCAGCUGGAAGCUCUGCCUGUGGCUGGGGGGUUGGAACUCGGUGAGCCUUGAGGUCCCUUCCAACCCAAGCUUUUCUUUGAUUCUAUGAUUCUAUGUAGCAUAGGCAUAAACAUGGAUGUACAUUAUGUGAAUGAAUCUAUUAAAAAACAUUCAAAUUAUUUACUUUUUGCAGAGUUAACUGAAGUCAAUAAAAUGCUCACAGUUCAUCAACAUUUCUAUGCUAUAUUUUUGUUAUUUUAACUGUGUAUUUCUUUAAGAAACACCUUCAUCUGUGAGAACUCUCCUGUAUGUUCAAGUUAACUUAAGCUAGGUAUAGUUUUUCAGGUUGUAGAUUAUGACUUUGUCAUGGUUUUAUGAUUUUUGGUUAUCAGUAUUCCACAUCACAUCAUGCAGGGUACUGGGAGUUAAAGAGCAAAUGCUUUAGUUCCGGGUACCUGUCUGGAAGAGAAGAAGAACUACGUUCCCCAAGAGCCUUUUCGAGUACUGUUAUCAUUCCUGCUCAAGGGAACAGAUAUAAGGGCGCAGGUGAUCUGACUCGUCCUUUCUUCUCGUCUCGCCGUGUUCCCUGUCAGAUCGGCUCACUACUGCUGCGCCCGACUGCACGCAAGGCUUCAGUAUUACCAUAAGGCCUUUGGCUCUCGGACAAUCUUCCUCUCAAUUAUUUUUGAUUUAUACUGUAUUAUAGUGUGUUAUCUUACAUUCUGAUACUAUAUUUAGUAAAUUAGUUAGUUUCUCC